rnacentral:lncRNA from 1 species
AUUUGUUAUAUGUGAAACCUAAUAGGUAUAUGAAUAUGUACUUUAGAAUACACUUAAUGUGUUAUUGUUAUUAAAAUUAUAUUUGUAGUUCACAGGUCCCAGGAACUAGGGAAGACUUAUGAAGCAUUACCUAUCCAAUGCUGUUCUACUGUGAAACACCAGCAUCAGUAGGAGCUUGAGGGAUGUGCAGAAUCUCAAGCAUUUGAACAAAUCUGUUGAUUUAUCAGCACAUUAGCAUUUAAAAAUCUCUAGACCAGCUAGCUUCUUGGUCCAGUGGGUGGGGGAUCAUUUGGAAAAAGUUCAUACAUAUCUUCAAACACCAAACUGCUUCCCCAGUUUGCAAUCUUCCAGAACUCAGUUUGGUUUUCUAUAUUUUUAUUCCUUAGCAAUUGUGUUCUAGGUCUCAUGGCCACAUGGUUAAGUGAGCAUCUUCCAAAACUUCAUCUUUCAACACAGUUCAAAGCAACAGCAAGUCUACAAUCUUCUCCUGCCCUCUGAGAUAUAUGCCUAAGGUCAAAGGAGACAACAAGAGUAGGGGUGUCCAACACCAGUUUCAGAUCAGAGCCUUGAAAAUGCACCAAAGAAUCCAUCAGAUCUGUAAGUGACCUCAUAUGUGAGUAGUCUCUAUAAAUGAAGAGGCAAUGGCAUUUCACCCAGGCUUAAGUCUACCCACCAUUGUGUGGAGCAUUGUGUGAAGAGGAAGUCCCUCCUGUGUGCCCAAAGGACAAUGUGAAGAGUCAACAAUGUGUGGACUACAGAAAAGCCUUGUCAGAAUCUCAACAAGUGCUUCAGAAUCAUGACCGUAUGUCAGAGCCAGUGCUUUGUAAGAAACAACAAAAUGAACAGGAUUUCUCCUCUAAUGAAGCUCAAAAUCGAACGGGCAAACAGAUGUUAAAUAAUUUAAAUUCAUGUGAAGCACAUUAUAUAGAAAUAUAUGAAGUACACAAUAAGAGAAAAUGAUACAAGGAUGUCCAUUUAGACUUGGAUGUGGGACAAUAAAAUGAUGUGUUGUGAAAAGUGUUAGAUGAAGUACUGAGAGAGAACAUGGCAAGGAAGAACUGAGUCUAGGGUCCCUAAGGUAGUGUGGAGCUCAAUGUAGUGAAGGAACUCAAAAGUAGAGUCAUGACCACUGAGAGGAAUACUUUAGGACACGACUUAAGAUAUUAAGGAAAAAACAUGUCUUUUCCUGUUCUAGGAAUCAGAUCUGUGUGCUUGAGUAGAGAAAUGC